AAGUAAGGCCAAACCAAGAAAAGCACAUUUUGGAGUUCCCGUUGUGGCUCAGCAGGUUGAGAACCUGGCAUAGGUUAAGGAUCUGGCGUUGGGUAGGCAGGCAGCUGCAGCUCUGAUUUGACACCUAGCCCAGGAGCUUCCACGUGCAGGAGAUGUAGCCCAAAAAAGGAAAAAAGGAGGGGGAAGAAAAAGCACAUAUUUGGGUACUUUUGGACCAUUUCUUUGAAUGGUGAUCCAGGGAAUCUGAGUUGGAGUUGAAUUCCCAAGGUGAAAUUUCCAGAGAAAGAAAUGUCUUUCUGUCCUCGGCUGCGGGGGGCGGGGUGGGGGGCGUGUAGAGUCAUUCUGUCAGGGGUGGAGGACAACUAAUUAAAUAUUGUCAGGUCAGGCAGGCCAACAGGAUGGACGAUGCAGCCAGACUGCUGACUGGCCAGGUUUGAUGUGUAAAUGGAUCCAGUCUAGCGUUUCCGUCUGUUUGCAAAGGCAAAACCAGAGAGGGAUGUCCCACAGCACCAACCACUGAGAAGAAGGUGUUUGCCUUCUUUGUCCCAGGUGUUUUACAGGUGCUGUUACACUUUUUUUUUUUUUCUUUUUACACCUGUGCCUGCAGCAUACUAGCCUAGCCUAGCACCUAGGCCAGCUAGCAUAGCACCUAGCAGCUAACUUAGCACAUACCACCCAGCCUAGCACCUAGCAGCUAGCUAGCAUAGCACCUAGCAUCUAGCCUACACUCUAGCACCAAGCAGCUAGCUUACUGCAGCUCUGAUUCAACCCCUAGCCUGGGAACUUCCAUAGGCUAUGGGUGCAGCCCUAAAAAGCAAAAACAAACAAAUAAACAAGCCAAAAAUUUUUUUAAUUUAAUUUUUAAUUUUUAUUGAUCUCUCAGUUUCUUUUGCAGAUGCAGAGAAUGAAAACAGAAAUGAAUUUCAGUUCUGGUUUAUAAUUAUUGUGCUGUAACGUGAGCAGCGGUUCUCUAAACGCAGGAUCUGUACAAGCAGGACUACCCGGCAACAGGUUGGGAUGCAGAUUCCUGGGCACCCCCAGAACCCCUGACUCAGAAACCGUGAAGGUGGGGCCCAGGCAUCUACAUGAAUAACCCCUCCAGUGAUCCUGACACAAAGCAAAGCUUAACAAAAAGCUCGUCAUUAUUUAUUACUGAUUAUAGCAACGUCAUUAUAAAUUCAACAAAAAGAAACCAUGGAAUUGCACAUUUUUUGGUCUGUUCUCAUACCUGCUGUUCCACAAGAUAGAUUAGUUUUGAUUACUGGUUCUAUAUGCAUAUCCAAUCUCUUGUGACAGACCAUGAUGGAGCAUAGUAUGAGAAAAGAAUAUAUAUAUAUGAAUAUAUGAAUAUAUAUAUAUGACUGAGUGACUUUGCUGUGCAGCAGAACUAAGCACAACAUUGUAGGUCAACCAUAAUUAAAAAAAUUUUUAAGUAAAAAGAAACAACGCCCCCCCCCCAUAAAUCCUGGACUCACUCCACUGAAAACGGAAUUCUGAAACUCUAUCUCCUGCUUUUUGCCCUUCGGCUUCUGCAGAAACAUUAGAUCCCAGAAAAAAAUCUUUGCAGCUGAGUUGCCAACGUUGUGGAUUAUUCUGAAGGAGGGAGGUUACACCAUUUCAGGUGCUGGAUGAUGCCCCAUGGUCCUGGGCAGCCUGACGCCCACAGUAAUUGGCCAGCACCCUGACUCAGAAAAGAAACAGGAAGCCAAAUGACACAGAGGGACAAACCACAACUUUUUGUUUGGAUAUAAAACAAUGAUGGCAUUUGGGAAAUUAAAGGGGACACCAAAGGGGACACCACCAACAACAUACAGUAUGGUAAAAGUGAUCAACCCCAGGGCACUUCCAUUUCAUUUUAUUUUAUUUUAUUUCGUCUUUUUAGGGCCACACCCUAUGGAAGGUCCCAGGCUAAGGGUUGAAUUGGAGCUGCAGCUGCUGACCUAUGCCACAGCCACAGCAACACUGGAUCCUUAACCCACUGAGCAAGGCCUGGGAUCGAACCCUGAUCCUCAUGGGUACUAGUCAGGUUCGUUACAGCUGAGUCACAACAGGAGCGCCUCAUUUCCAUUUUAAAUGAAAGCCACAUUUUAUUCCAGGGGAAGCCCUCAAAAUUGUCUACAAUAUUCAAAAGUGGGAAAUAAGGUAACGAAAAGGAGGAGCCUCCUGAUAAACGUUGAAAACGUGCUCCAACUGUGCUCCUGGGGACUUAAGUGCUCCUGGGGAAAUUCUCAGGUGUUCACAUGCCUCUAAAAAUUCAGUCUGGAAAAAAAAAGAAAGAAAGAAAGAAAAACAAAGGGCCAUUUGGAGACUGAUAAAAAUCAGUAUCAUGACUUCCUCCAAAAAAAAAAAAAAUACACAGGGGUUUUAAUGAGCCAAGUGCUGAAAAUAAACUUGACUGAGGCAUGGGGUCAGUGUGACAGUGAGUGACAUUAAGUGAGUUUUGAGACUCUGAUGUGAGGUCACCCCCCUCGGGGGGGGGGGGCGGGGAUCAGGGGUCCCAUCCCUGAUGCCACAGGGGCAGGAAGGCCCCAGGGAUCCAGCACCUCCCUGAUAGCUUCUCUGCUUCCCUCUUCCUCGGGGCCAUGAGAUGGACACAAAGUUCACAGCUUAUUUCAGGCUGCUUUGCUACUUUUCAAGUUUUCCCUUUUAGUUCAGCGCUUGCACAACUUCUGUCAUCUGAAGGAAGGGCAGAAAGAAGAAAAAAAAAAAAAAAGUGGAAGAGGAAGGAAAGCAUUGCUAAAUGGGAAGUGGGCAAGUCAGUACAGCCUCCACCCCAAAUCUGUAGCAGCGGUGAAUCGUCUGACUUUGGUGACGCCUUUCAAGAACUUUCCCUGAGGCCAGAAAAAGGCUUCCUGGGGCUGCUUUCUGGACGGUUGGUUCUCAACCCAGUGGAGCAGUGGUGUCAUGUGCCUUGUAGUAAGGACCACCGUUUCCUAAAUACAAGACACAGCACUUGUGCCUCAAAAUGCUCCCCACAGGACGGAGGGUUCGCCUCGCCCCUGCUGGGCGCCGGGACACAUCCAGACACCCAGACGGGGCCACAGUGUGGCCAGGGUUGUGUUUCCAGAAACCCGAAGAGCCAGAAGCAAGAUCUUCUCUGAGUUUUAACAUGUCCCUUUCGGCCACACCUGCAGCAUAUGGAAGUUCCCAGGCCAGGGAUUGAACCAGAGCCUACAUAGAGACAAGCUAGAUCAUUAACCCACUGUGCCACAGUGGGAACUCCCUAACAUGUCUUUUGCUCUGACUCUUGUCGACAGUCAGUAUAGGACAGAGAAUGACCAAGGUUUUUGUCACCAAAAUGACUUCCUUCCUUUAUUAGGUCGAGGCAAGAGGGGAAAAAAAUUGGCAACUUCUGGAAUUGAGUGUCAGAUAUUCUGAAGCCUUCUCAUGUCUGUAAUCCCUUAGGGAAGAAGAGAAGUUGAGGCUGGAAGGGUCACUGAGAGACCAUGGCAGGGGCCACGA
rnacentral:lncRNA from 1 species